UGUGCCACGGGAGGCAGCAGUGAGGAAUAUUGGUCAAUGGGCGGUAGCCUGAACCAGCCAAGUAGCGUGAAGGAUGAAGGUUCUAUGGAUUGUAAACUUCUUUUAUAAAGGAAUAAAGUGAGGCACGUGUGCCUUUUUGUAUGUACUUUAUGAAUAAGGAUCGGCUAACUCCGUGCCAGCAGCCGCGGUAACACGUAGGAUCCGAGCGUUAUCCGGAUUUAUUGGGUUUAAAGGGAGCGUGGAUGGGUUGUUAAGUCAGUUGUGAAUGUUUGCGGCUCAACCGUAAAAUUGCAAUUGAUACUGGG
rnacentral:rRNA from 1 species